GAUGGUAUGGUAAUUAGCCUAAAGAAAGUUAGCACUGAUUUUUCUCUGACAAAAUGAGUAUUGUAUACGAUAAUAUGGACCGAUCACAUCUGCUUUUGUUUGAGUGAGUUUACACAUAAAGGAAUAAAACUCGUGCCUGGGCACUCCUUUUACAUGGACACCUCAUCUUUUAACAAUGCCCAAUAAAUGAGCCACGGCUGUACCUUACUACACAGAGGAUGGAUGGAGAAAAACAUUUUCCUUCUUGCACAUAGAAAGCAAUACAUCCAUUAAAUAUCAAACACAUUAUUUCAUUUCUAUAUACAUCUAUGGAUAAGAUAAUGUAGUGAUUUCAUAUUUCCCUGUGAAUGCAAUAAAAUCUG